GAUGAACGCUGGCGGCGUGCUUAACACAUGCAAGUCGAACGAUGAAAGCGGGAGCUUGCUCCUGCUGGAUUAGUGGCGAACGGGUGAGUAACACGUGAGCAAUCUGCCCCGAACUCUGGGAUAAGCGUUGGAAACGACGUCUAAUACCGGAUACGACGCGCGAAGGCAUCUUCUGCGCGUGGAAAGAAUUUCGGUUCGGGAUGAGCUCGCGGCCUAUCAGCUAGUUGGUGAGGUAACGGCUCACCAAGGCGACGACGGGUAGCCGGCCUGAGAGGGUGACCGGCCACACUGGGACUGAGACACGGCCCAGACUCCUACGGGAGGCAGCAGUGGGGAAUAUUGCACAAUGGGCGAAAGCCUGAUGCAGCAACGCCGCGUGAGGGACGACGGCCUUCGGGUUGUAAACCUCUUUUAGUAGGGAAGAAGCGAAAGUGACGGUACCUGCAGAAAAAGCACCGGCUAACUACGUGCCAGCCGCCGCCGUAACAC
rnacentral:rRNA from 1 species